ensembl:lncRNA
AAAAGGAUGGUGACAAACUCUAAAUGAGAUUUGGACUGUUAACCCAAGUUCCUUCGCUGCCAUAUUAAUCUGAACAGGAGUUAAAAUGCUGCCAGGGUGAGGGAAGCGAGGAAAGAACUGCAGACCUGUGUUCACCAAGCGCUGACAACACACUGGGAACUGAAAGCCUUGAAAACAUGUCCACUGCCAGCCCACUCACCAUGAGGACAAGAGAGUUCUCAGAAGGGUUUGGCCAUACGAUGCUUCCAAGGACGCUUCCCUUUUCCUGGAGCCAGCAGGCUGUUCCUAUUGGAUAAUUGCCCCUGCCCCAUUUCAUGUGGUCCUGGGGGGGAACAGACACCCAUACUGCCCACCCUGAAUCCAGAACACCAUGGCGGGAGGCAGAGGGAGCUGACAGUGUGUGUACUGUCCCAUCUCCUACACGUGAUUGGUGGGUGGACCCUGGGCACACCCACCAGCCUUCCUUUGAUUAGCAGGUGGAUUGCAGAGAGGAAGGACCCCUCCAUCCUACCCCAGCCUGCCCCUGCGGAAUGGUGAGCCGCUAGGACAUGCUUCUACUUGAGGGCUGCCGCCUUUCAUCUUCCUACCCACUGGGAGAGAGCCUGCCUGCAGAAGGAAGCCAGCACACAGACAUCAACAGAGCCAAGAGAUCAGAAAAGAGUCUUAGCUGCAUCCUCAGAGCUGUGGAUCUGGCUGCUUCCCCAAGGAGCCCCAUCUUCUAAGAAAGGGAGCCGCUCAAGAUCACAUGUGAUGAAAGUCAUAAAAAUGCAAGUAAAUUGUGCCUUUCAUGCUGGGGCCAAUAUUCCCUCAUUUAACCCACAAAACAGUUCCACAGAGUGGAUAUCAUGAAGCCCACUUGAUGGGGGAAUGAAUGAAGGCUUUGAGAGGUUAAAUGUCUUGCCUGUAUUCUAAGUCAUAUGCCCAAGACAGAAGCUCUGAUCAGCUUCAGAGCCAAAAUGUUUCCCACUUGUUCACACUUGCUUUUCUGGAACAGAGAGAGGCCCAGGAGGUAAUGACUGCUCCGAAAGAGGACAACUUUGCCAACCUGGGGCUGGUGGGAAGAAAUGAAGAGGUACUCUCGUUAAUGAAGAUGAAUAGUGAAUUGCAUUUUGAGAAGUAUCCAAAUGGGUGUGGCCUGAGAGCCUUGAAGAGAAUUCCUUCAAGUGAUAAGCCUGCAGGUGGGAUCUACAGACACAUCCUGUUUCAGCAUUUCUGUUCCAGACUCCAAAGAGGCCCCUCCAUGCGAAGAGAAUAGCACUGAUAAAAACUGUGCACAAGUUUCUUUUCAAAGAGACUCCUCUCCCCUACCCCCUCUCUUUUUUUUCCCUCCUCUUUCUCUUUCUCUCUGCUCAAUUCCUGCCAGAGGCACUGGAAGUUUGGAGUCUGAGUUCCUGGGUGAUCUGAGGUGACAGGAAAACUCAGGCAGGCAUCCGAUCUGUAUUCCACUGUGGCAGUACUUAAAAGGCACUCUGCAACCUUUUGCUGCUGCUUUCUUUAAAGGCUUGAGCAAUUUCGAUAUUUUGGUUCAGUGUCACUAUAGAAAAGCUUUACAAUUCUAGCUCGGGAAUUAGAAGAUAUAUUUGUAAUAAGAAUUGCUAACCACUGUCAGCUGGCAGGCCCAUGUCCGUGCAUGAAAAUGAUGCCAUUAGCUUUCAUGGCAGUGUGGGCAAAAUGUAAAGAUUGUGGAUCAUGUAAGAGACAGAAGAGGGGGGAAAAAAAACACUCCACACUUGGGGGGAGGUUUCUGGUGGUCAGGGUGGUUUGGCUACAUGUGUGCAUUUAGCCCCUGGAUAAGGUAGAAAGCUCAGUACUACUUGUCUUUGCAAAUGCUAACAUUUUUUCCUUUAUUUUAUCUACCAGCUUCCUCCUAUAAUGUUGAUGAAUCGUGCAACUGCAUUUUAAUGAGGUGCUGGUGAGACUGAGAGACAGUGAGGGUGAAGGGAAGAACUAAGGUAGACAGGAGUGGUCACUGAGCACACAGAUCCCCACAGGUCCAGGGCUUCAUGGGGACACCUAGCCUGUCCCUGACCUAAGCACUGGGCCACCCACGCACAGGAGCAGGACACCACCAGGGCUUCAGAGCCAGGCUGGUUGGGAUGGGUUCCUGCUCUGUCAUUUCCAGGCCUUGCAGCUUUUGGCAGAUUGCUGCUAUUUUCAUUUCUGGCAGAAUCCAUUCCCUUCCAAAGAGAGAAAGCAUGUCUGCACAUCUGCCAUGCUGGGGGUGGUGGGGAGACCCUAGUGAAGGGAUGGGGCAAAUGUCCUUGCGCUCCUGACACUUGGCUCUAGAAGGAUAAAGACAGUAGGAGCCCUACAGCACAGGCCCAUGGGGAGCAUAAGAGUAACAGAGCCAAAGGUCCGGCACACAGUAGAUGCUUCAUUAACACCCGUUUCUUCCACCCUUUACUCUAUUUACCAUGUCAAUCGAGAGGGGAACUUAUCUUUAACACCACCUUCUAGGUAAGGAAGAGAGUGACGGUUAGAAGCUAUAAGGACACAUCAGGAUUCCCGUUGUGGCUCAGUGGUAGUGAAUCUGACUUGUAUCCAUGAGGAUGCUGGUUUAAUCUCUGGCCCUGAUCAGUGGGUUAAGGACCCAGAGUUGCCUUGAGCUGUGGUGUAGGUCGCAGACAUGGCUCAGAUCUGGUGUUGCUUGUAGCUGUGGUGUAGGCUGGCAGCUGCAGCUCCAAUUCAACCCCUACCUACCCUGGGAACUUCCAUAUGCCACAGGUGCAGCCCUAAAAAGAGAAAGAAAGACAGACAGACAGACAGAAAGCAAGCAAGCAAGCAUCAAAGAAAGCUUACAGGGCACAGAUGAGAGCUCAAGUCUGUCUGACUCUGAAACACAUGUAUCCUCCCCACCAUCAGCUCUCGUUAAAUCAAAGACAGUUGCCAGGGUCCGAGUUCCAGGAGCUCAGCCUUUCUUCAUCAUACUGAGGGAUGACCAGGUGGUGGUAGGAAAGGUGUGGGAUGCUCCCUGACCCCACCCUGUAGACAGCAGAAGAGAUGAAGAGAGAUGUGUAGAUGGAGACUGGUGUGCAGGAAACGAGCAGUGUGGACCAGAUUGGAAAUUUCAGUGGGGACAGGGGGAGAAGCAUGGGGCAGCAUCCCAAGGCCAGACCUCAACCUUCCCAAGGCUGCUCUGGGGACUCAGGCCCUGCAUCUGUCCCUUGAGGGAGCAGGUCGGUCAUUGCUACCAAGUUUCCCUUCAAAACUGGCUUUGUAAAUGAUGAGUGGUCCCCUGAGAUAACUUAACUCCAGUUCACCUUAUAAAUGAUUCUCUGUUUGAAGCAAAUCAUUUCUGGUUUAGGAUUAAGGGUAUGGAUUUAGGGGCUCAUCAUAAAACAAGAAAAUAAACC